UCGAACGAUGAAGCCCAGCUUGCUGGGUGGAUUAGUGGCGAACGGGUGAGUAACACGUGAGUAACCUGCCCUUGACUCUGGGAUAAGCCUGGGAAACUGGGUCUAAUACUGGAUAUGACUUCUCACCGCAUGGUGGGGGGUGGAAAGAUUUAUUGGUCUUGGAUGGACUCGCGGCCUAUCAGCUUGUUGGUGAGGUAAUGGCUCACCAAGGCGACGACGGGUAGCCGGCCUGAGAGGGUGACCGGCCACACUGGGACUGAGACACGGCCCAGACUCCUACGGGAGGCAGCAGUGGGGAAUAUUGCACAAUGGGCGCAAGCCUGAUGCAGCGACGCCGCGUGAGGGAUGACGGCCUUCGGGUUGUAAACCUCUUUCAGUAGGGAAGAAGCGAAAGUGACGGUACCUGCAGAAGAAGCGCCGGCUAACUACGUGCCAGCAGCCGCGGUAAUACGUAGGGCGCGAGCGUUAUCCGGAAUUAUUGGGCGUAAAGAGCUCGUAGGCGGUUUGUCGCGUCUGCCGUGAAAGUCCGGGGCUUAACCCCGGAUCUGCGGUGGGUACGGGCAGACUAGAGUGCAGUAGGGGAGACUGGAAUUCCUGGUGUAGCGGUGAAAUGCGCAGAUAUCAGGAGGAACACCGAUGGCGAAGGCAGGUCUCUGGGCUGUAACUGACGCUGAGGAGCGAAAGCAUGGGGAGCGAACAGGAUUAGAUACCCUGGUAGUCCAUGCCGUAAACGUUGGGCACUAGGUGUGGGGGACAUUCCACGUUUUCCGCGCCGUAGCUAACGCAUUAAGUGCCCCGCCUGGGGA
rnacentral:rRNA from 1 species